UUAUAGUCUGCUGCGCAACAGGCGCGGUAGCCUCAGAAGCGAACAACGGCUCGUCUCGGGACGUUGUGUUUAU
rnacentral:tRNA from 1 species